GUGCUCCAUUUGGCAGCACAUAUACUUAAAUUGGAAUUAUACAGAGAUUAGCAUGGCCUCUGUGCAAGGAUGACACACAAAUUCGUAAAGCCUUCUAUUAUAUA